ACUCCUGCGGGAGGCAGCAGUGGGGAAUAUUGGACAAUGGGCGCAAGCCUGAUCCAGCCAUGCCGCGUGAGUGAUGAAGGCCCUAGGGUUGUAAAGCUCUUUCACCGGUGAAGAUAAUGACGGUAACCGGAGAAGAAGCCCCGGCUAACUUCGUGCCAGCAGCCGCGGUAAUACGAAGGGGGCUAGCGUUGUUCGGAUUUACUGGGCGUAAAGCGCACGUAGGCGGACUAUUAAGUCAGGGGUGAAAUCCCGGGGCUCAACCCCGGAACUGCCUUUGAUACUGGUAGUCUUGAGUUCGAGAGAGGUGAGUGGAAUUCCGAGUGUAGAGGUGAAAUUCGUAGAUAUUCGGAGGAACACCAGUGGCGAAGGCGGCUCACUGGCUCGAUACUGACGCUGAGGUGCGAAAGCGUGGGGGGCAAACAGGAUUAGAAACCCUAGUAGUCCCAUGA
rnacentral:rRNA from 1 species